GUCGAUUUGAUGAGCUCUCCAACAAGCCCGAUGUUCCUGCUGAUGAUUAGUCUACAAAGUAUCUAAUGGGCAAUUCUCCAUGGAGAGAAUGGUCAUUGCUCAUUGAGAGGAUGGUGAAUGGCUUUUGAUUAGAUUUUAGGGAACAGGGAUGCCUCCAAAAUGAUCCCAUUGGCUAGGACUUUGAAGAGGACAAACUCUUGUAAGAACAGGACCUCCACUGUGCCAGCAUCUAAAGGUUUAGAGGCAGCAGGACGUUGUGGAUACAGUACUGUAUUUCCAUCGGGGAAACCUGGGUUUGAAUCCUGCCUCAGAUUCUUGGGAUUCUGGGCUCAAGAUGUUGCAAAUCUUCCACAAACUCUCCAAGGCUGAUCAGAGGGAAAGCCAGGAACACCCAACCCCCUAGUGUCUGCCCCAGAAGGGGUUGAUGGUUUCUCAAGAUACACUGCAAAAUUCUCUUCCUCUGACCUCAUCAAGGACCCAUAGCAAAUCUUAAAGCAGCCCAGGAAGUCUCAAAUCGCUUGUAUAAACCUUACAUCUGACUACACUCCAUUCUGAACUAAGCUAAUUACACUUACAUUAUCAUUAUCAUUACACCAUCCAGCUGGCCCUCACGAAAAUCUUUCAAAGCCACAUAGCGAAUAUUACAUUUAAUCCUGGAGGUGACGGGAACCUGUGAAAUGUAUGGGAGGGGGACAAAGUUGUGCUUGAGGAAAAUUAAUUUGACAGAGCAUUCCUGGGGAGUCAUGUGAAAUUGGUCAAAAAAAU
rnacentral:lncRNA from 1 species